GACGAACGCUGGCGGCGUGCUUAACACAUGCAAGUCGAACGAUGAAGCUGGAGCAUGCUCCGGUGGAUUAGUGGCGAACGGGUGAGUAACACGUGAGAAAUCUGCCCUUCACUCUGGGAUAACUGCGGGAAACUGUAGCUAAUACCGGAUACGAGGCUUGGAGGCAUCUCCAGGUCUGGAAAGAAUUUCGGUGAAGGAUGAGCUCGCGGCCUAUCAGCUUGUUGGGGAGGUAAUGGCUCACCAAGGCGACGACGGGUAGCCGGCCUGAGAGGGUGACCGGCCACACUGGGACUGGGACACGGCCUGGACUCCUACGGGAGGCAGCAGUGGGGAAGAUUGCACAAUGGGCGAAAGCCUGAUGCAGCAACGCCGCGUGAGGGAUGAAGGCCUUCGGGUUGUAAACCUCUUUUAGCAGGGAAGAAGCGAAAGUGACGGUACCUGCAGAAAAAGCACCGGCUAACUACGUGCCAGCCGCCGCAGUAA
rnacentral:rRNA from 1 species